GUGUAAGGAAGAACAGAAGGAUCCAAGUGUGAGAAAGCCCACCCUGAGUCUCUCAGAGAUUCAUUUCACUACCAGGUCAAAGACACAAUCAAAAGCCCGACAAAUGGAAUUUGUGGAAUUGGAACAAAAAGGCACAAGAACAUCAAAGCAUAAAUCCUUCAGGUAUCAGCAAUGACAUCACUUAAGAAUUUCUCAGAAUCUUUGGCACCACCCCAGGCCUACCGGAUCAGAAUCUGAAUUUUUUAACAAGAUCUCAGAUCUAGUCAAGAGUCCAGUCUGAUUUCUCUUUAUUGGGACUACCACCCAAAGCAGAAUGAGGAUGAUGUAACCACGCCCAGUGACUUCUGGAUACCACUGACUCUAGAUCCUGAAUUCCAGCAGAAUGGCUGACACCAACUGGUCUGAAGACCCUCACCAAGGAACUGACUCAGUGCAGGAAUGCAGUUUCUUCAUCUCCCUAUCCCUGACUUCACCCCUCACUUCUCAACCAAUCAGUGAUCACCACACUUUAGGCCAUCACCUGUGUCCAGACCCCUUAAAAACCCCAUCUGCAAACCUCUUGAAGAGGCAUAUUUGAGGUUUCCUCUCAUCUCCUCAUUUGGUUUCCCUACAAUUAUUAAAUUCUUUCUCUGCUGCAACUCCUACUUUUUCAGUGUAUUGGUCUGUUACUGUGCAACAGGAAAUCAGACCUGGUGGUCCUAUAGUAAGAGUUCACAGAAUAUGAUAUACAAAGUGAUCUGUGAUAUACAAAAACCGGCACAAUCUCACUCUUAAUAAGAAAAAUUCAACUUAAAAUUAAAAGUUUUUUUUCCUCAGAAUGGCAAAGAUCAAAGUUUGAUAACAUGGUUGGAAAGUAUGCAGACCGAUAUUCUCAUAUUCAUUGAUGAAGUGUAAAUUGAUACAUCCUUUGUCAGUACGGACAGGUUUCCCAACUCUAGGGGUGAAAUUUAUACAGACUACAGUGUGAAUGACAACCACUUCAAAUUGGGUGAUAUGAUGACCUUGACUCUGUGGAGGGUCAUUUGGCAAAAUAUCUCAAAAUAAAAAUGUACAUACAAUUUGA
rnacentral:lncRNA from 1 species